ensembl:lncRNA
AUUUUUUCCAACCUUUCAGGCUUGACACAGCAGUUUUUGAAAAUGUUAAAUUCCCUCUGGAUGCCAAGGACAGCAUAAUGUUGUUGUUAGUUCUUCUUUGUCUCCUCUGCACAGUCUGCAACAUGCUUAGAAACAAAACACUACAUAGUGUGAUGCAGCAAAACAUACAUAGUGUGGUGCAGCGUCUUCUUGAGGAAGAGGAAACAAGAAGCAAAGCAGCAGUGUCCGUGCCUGUACAGAAUACCACAACAGCAGCCAUGUCAACGCAGACUGCCACAGAGAAAGAAGGAACCAAAAGGAAAACAACAGUGUCCGUGUCUACGCAGACUGUCAUGGAGGAAGAAACAAAAAGCAAAGCAAAGGUGUCUAUGUCUACACAGACCGGCACAGAGGAGGAAGGAAUCGAAAGUGCCAUCAGCAUCUCCACACAAACCAUCACCAAACCAGAGCAGCCUGAACCCAUAGGGGUUGCCCCUGUUCAGAAGAAGAAAUCGAGGAGCAAAUCAGUCCGCAUAGUGACUGACGAGGACACUGCAGGACCCUCGCACCCAGUGGAAGAGACAGAACCAGAGAUCAUCACUCGCUCUCUAUCCCUGGGUGAGCUACGUGACCUGCGGAGAGAAUUCACCCGCCAGACAAAUGAGUCCAUCCUCACCUGGCUUCUCCGCAUCUGGGACGCUGCAGCCAAUGACACCAUUCUGGAUGGAAGUGAGGCCAGGCAACUGGGAUCACUAUCCCGGGAUGUGGUCAUUGACCAGGGGAUUGGGAGAACCCAAGAAACUCUCAGCCUCUGGCGGCGACUGCUUGCAAGUGUGAAGGACAGAUACCUUUGUAAAGAAGACCUCCAGGUACUCCAAGGAAAAUGGAAUACCAUGGAACAAGGUAUCCGAUGCCUAAGGGAAUUGGCUGUGUUGGAGAUAAUUUUUGCAGAAGACGAAAGAUUUCCUAAGAGUCCAGACUGUGUCCAGUGCACAUCACAAAUGUGGUUGAGAUUUGCACGGCUUGGACCAGAGAUGUACGCUCGUUACCUGGCAACACUGCAGUGGAGAGAAGGCGAGGACAGGGUGGGCGUCCUAGCCA